rnacentral:misc_RNA from 1 species
AAGUCGUAACAAGGUCUCCGUUGGUGAACCAGCGGAGGGAUCAUUACAGAGUUGCAAAACUCCCUAAACCAUUGUGAACGUUACCUUUAUCGUUGCUUCGGCGGGUGGCGCCCAGCGCCCCCAAGGCCCCCCCGCGGGGCGCCCGCCGGAGGAAACCUAACUCUUGACAACUGUAUGGCCUCUCUGAGUAACUAUACUUAAUAAGUUAAAACUUUCAACAACGGAUCUCUUGGUUCUG